UACGGAGGGUGCGAGCGUUAAUCGGAAUUACUGGGCGUAAAGCGCGCGUAGGCGGUUUGUUAAGUCAGCUGUGAAAGCCCCGGGCUCAACCUGGGAACUGCAGUUGAUACUGUCCGACUAGAGUACGAGAGAGGGAGGUAGAAUUCCAUGUGUAGCGGUGAAAUGCGUAGAUAUAUGGAGGAAUACCAGUGGCGAAGGCGGCUCACUGGCCCGGUACUGACGCUGAGGCGCGAAAGCGUGGGGAGCAAACAGG
rnacentral:rRNA from 1 species